rnacentral:rRNA from 1 species
UACGUAGGGGCCUAGCGUUGUCCGGAUUUAUUGGGCGUAAAGCGCGCGCAGGCGGUUCGGAAAGUCGGAUGUGAAAAUCCGGGGCUCAACCCCGGACCUGCACCCGAUACUCCCGGACUGGAGGCAGGUAGGGGAGAGCGGAAUUCCCGGUGGUAGCGGUGAAAUGCGCAGGAUAUCGGGAAGAACACCGGUGGCGAAGGCGGCUGACUCGUGGGCCUGUCCGUGACGCUCAGGCGCGAAAGCUAGGGGAGCGAACAGG